rnacentral:tRNA from 1 species
GAGGGUGUGGCUCAGUGGUAGAGCACUUGCCUAGCACGCACAAGGCCCUGAGUUUGAUCCCUGGCACCUGCC